rnacentral:rRNA from 1 species
GACGAACGCUGGCGGCGUGCUUAACACAUGCAAGUCGAACGGAAAGGCCCUGCUUUUGUGGGGUGCUCGAGUGGCGAACGGGUGAGUAACACGUGAGUAACCUGCCCUUGACUUUGGGAUAACUUCAGGAAACUGGGGCUAAUACCGGAUAGGAGCUCCUGCUGCAUGGUGGGGGUUGGAAAGUUUCGGCGGUUGGGGAUGGACUCGCGGCUUAUCAGCUUGUUGGUGGGGUAGUGGCUUACCAAGGCUUUGACGGGUAGCCGGCCUGAGAGGGUGAACGGCCACAUUGGGACUGAGAUACGGCCCAGACGCCUACGGGAGGCAGCAGUGGGGAAUAUUGCACAAUGGGCGGAAGCCUGAUGCAGCAACGCCGCGUGCGGGAUGACGGCCUUCGGGUUGUAAACCGCUUUCGCCUGUGACGAAGCGUGAGUGACGGUAAUGGGUAAAGAAGCACCGGCUAACUACGUG